UGCUCCGGGGGGCUCGCCGAGGUGCGGCUCCGGCAGCGUUUUGCGAAGACGCGGGAUGCGCCUUGUCCGCGGCUUCCCGUUAACAGGAAGACAGGGAAGGGUCUCCGAGGGUGGCCUAGUGCAUCGCCCUUCCUGGAGGCAAAACUAGUCCUGCUGGGGUGUGGCAGGGCCGGUUUAACCUUCAGAGGCAAACGGGAUGUAGAGGUCUAAGCGGGUGCUUUUUGGAUGGCGCCCAGUGAUCAAGUGAAGAGGGUAGUCGACUUGGCUAUAUAAAGAUAGAGGAUUGGCGACUUGGAUCCUACUACUGACUCCCUGAAUCUGGAGAAGCUGCUGUCUCUUUUCCACUUGCUUCCUUAAGAAGAAGAGAAAACCAAAACAGAAAUCCACAACAACCCUGAUUUAAUGGCCCCAUAGUGUCCUGAGGUCAUCAGAUUGAAAAUGCUAAGCACAAUUUGAGACAGGCAAGAAGACUGAGUACCUGUUCUGUCAAAGGAUGCUGGAAUGCUUGUUUUUGGAAAACACCAAAUUCCCCCUGCAUUCUCCAGAUGGUGUGUGAGGUCCUGCCCAAUAUCUACUGUAAAUCCUUUGGCGUAAGUAGUUGUUGCAUCUUUUUGUCUCACCAGCCCCAUCAUCUUCAGGAAGCCUGGCUAUGAAAUCACAUGGAUUACUCUUCUAUUGCCAAUUUCCUGUGGAAAUUAGAUGUCCAGUAUGCCUAUUUGGUUUCUACGUGUGUAUAUUUCUUAAUGAGUCCACUUUGAGAUAUUUCCUGUUUCUGAUUUUCAUAGCUAUUUAAGAGAGUAUCAAACAUAUUUAAGUCUUCAAAGAGAUGAAACAUCCUGAUUUUAAUAUCCAGUAAUCUCCAGUGCUCUUGUAUGUAUUUUCUUGCUUGGUCUUAUUCUAGUCAUAAAGC